rnacentral:rRNA from 1 species
GGCCGCGGGAAUUCGAUUCAGGCCUAACACAUGCAAGUCGAGCGGUAGAGAGAAGCUUGCUUCUCUUGAGAGCGGCGGACGGGUGAGUAAUGCCUAGGAAUCUGCCUGGUAGUGGGGGAUAACGUUCGGAAACGGACGCUAAUACCGCAUACGGCCUACGGGAGAAAGCAGGGGACCUUCGGGCCUUGCGCUAUCAGAUGAGCCUAGGUCGGAUUAGCUAGUUGGUGAGGUAAUGGCUCACCAAGGCGACGAUCCGUAACUGGUCUGAGAGGAUGAUCAGUCACACUGGAACUGAGACACGGUCCAGACUCCUACGGGAGGCAGCAGUGGGGAAUAUUGGACAAUGGGCGAAAGCCUGAUCCAGCCAUGCCGCGUGUGUGAAGAAGGUCUUCGGAUUGUAAAGUAAUUAAGUUGGGAGGAAGGGCAGUUACCUAAUACGUGAU